GACGAACGCUGGCGGCGUGCCUAAUACAUGCAAGUCGAACGCAGUGGGGACGGGUGAGUAACAAGUGGGUAACCUCCCAUCAGAGGGGAUAACACUUGGAUACAGGUGCUAAACCGACACUGAUGGAUGGAGCCGCGGUGCAUUAGCUAGUUGGUGAGGUAACGGCUCACCAAGGCCACGCAGCAUAGCCGACCUGAGAGGGUGAUCGCCCACACUGGUGCUGAGACACGGCCCAGGCUCCUACGGGAGGCAGCAGGAGGUAAUCUUCGGAAAUGGACGAAAGUCUGACCGAGCAACGCGGCGUGAGUGAAGAAGGUUUUCGGAUCGUAAAACUCUGUUGUUGGAGAAGCGGUAUCUAACCAGAAAGCCACGGCUAACUACGUGCCAGCAGCCGCGGUAAUUC
rnacentral:rRNA from 1 species